GUAAUUCUUCAUCCCAGUCCAGUGACCAAGCCAUACUUUCCCUCUGUGCGAUCCCACCUGCGCGUUGCACCUCAAGCGUCGAGCCUUCCACCGUAACCCCUCGCGCGAGGUAACUUUAUAUCUCUCGCAAGAGCUCACCUCAACGACCUCAUGGAAUCGAGAUUCAUGACUGGGCUAUUCUCUAUGUAUGCAGGUCUGCAUUCUCUUUGCAAUUAGCAAGGAACUCAAAGACAGAUGUGCAUUGGCUCAUGUGCAUUCUAGUCCCUAGAUUAUUUGGGGCUUUGGGCAAUACAGAAUGGAAGAACUUGUAAUUUCGAUACAGGUUUGGAUAGAAUGGUGUGGUAUGAACAACUACUUUAACCUUUUGUAGUUGAAAUCCUGCACACAUUUCUCUUGAUUUAUUUAUCUUGUUGGCUCUCAUGCACCAUUACUUGAUGAAUCAAAUAUCACAGUAAUAUUUCGACAACACUAACUUCCCACAAAUGUACAGUUUCUGCAUAUCAAGGUUCUCUUCCCAUGUUUCACUCCUUGUUCAACUGCUGGUAUACAAAAGCUUAAACCGCAAAAAAUGUAUACACAUGUUUACCUCUUUAAACACAACAGCUCUUACAAUCAGGUUUGAAUUUACAAUGCUGGCCUAGAUUCGGACAUGAUAGAUAAUACCAUGUUCCACACAUAGUAAUAUGUUGUACUGCACCACCGUGUACACAAGUUUCUCUAAUUUAUUCAGAUAGUUUCUGUGUGGACAAUCUUUUCCCUUCUAAUAAAAACUGAAAUUACCUUCAUUUUUGUUCAACAAUGCAUCCUAAAAAUGGAUAGCCUCUAAAUUAAGUGCAUAGAGCACAAUAUCGAUCGACAAAAUGAUCCGCCUAUUGAAGAUAUACAUCAGUCAUCUAUUACUGGAACAAGAAUCUUAUUUGUCCAAUUUAUGCAUUAUUUAAUAUUUACUUUAUUUCUUUUCACAACAAAUAUAAUUUUCCCUUCCGUGGGUAUUCUUCAGAUUUACAUGUAUACUGUGAAGUAUUGGUUUUGCCCAUCUUUAACCCAUUAUUUCUAUCUUGCAGAGCUAUCUAUUCAACUAUGAUUAAUUUCUUCUUUGUUGGGGCUUAUUUACCACUGUCAUAGACAAGUGCUUAUUUAGUUCCUUGUCAUAUUUAUUAGUUCGUUGUAAUAUGUGUUUGAUGGAUUAUGGGGAGUACCUUUCAAACUAAUGUUCCUCUUUUUAACUUACAUUUUGACAUGCAUCUCCAAGAAAAUAAACAGGAACAGAGUAGUCAUGAGGAGUUGCAAUGAAACGUGUACACGUAACAAUUGUCCAAGCUCUGAAACAUUUUCAGAUAUCGUUGCUGAACCUGUAUGGUCAUCCAGAUGAGGAUGUUGCAAGCGCUAACUGGAAAUACAUGUUCGCAGAAGCUCUAGGGUCAUCUAGAUGUGGAUUUUCCAACCCCUAAUUGGAAAUAUAGAAAGGUAGUUUCGUCUGUAGAAAUUGAUGGGAGAGUGUAGUACUACAGAAAGGUAAUUUUGUAUGUAGAUAUUGAUUAUUUAGAUGCGACUUUCUCAAGUAGCAUAUUGAAUUUAUUGUGUCU